GCGUGAAUGAAGAAGGCCUUAGGGUUGUAAAGUUCUUUCACCCGUGAAGAUGAUGACGGUAACGGGAGAAGAAGCCCCGGCUAACUCCGUGCCAGCAGCCGCGGUAAUACGGAGGGGGCAAGCGUUGUUCGGAAUUACUGGGCGUAAAGGGCGCGCAGGCGGCGUUGUUAGUCAGGUGUGAAAUCCCCGGGCUCAACCUGGGAACUGCACUUGAUACUGCGAUGCUGGAGUUCGGAAGAGGGUAGUGGAAUUCCCAGUGUAGAGGUGAAAUUCGU
rnacentral:rRNA from 1 species